rnacentral:lncRNA from 1 species
CUUUGAAUUAAGAUGAAAAUUAUUUUUACCCCACCACUAAAUUUAUUUUUUUAGGUGGUGGUGUUGAAAAUAAGGUGUUAUAUGCCUAAAUUGGAUAAAAUGGCGGUACCUCCAAACUUCAGAGAGAAUAAGACAAUCUAAAUAAUAUUGUUUACUGUUUUACCAUUCUCAUAGAGUACAUGGUCAUAAAUGCAUUGUUCAUAAAGCUUAUUAAAAUAAUUUAUUGUGUGGCAAUUUAAUAAUUAAAUUAUCCUAAAAGUAUAGCUCUAAUUCUACUUCCAGGCCCACUGACAUCUGUGUUUAACACACUUAUAAUAAGUAUCUGGGUGUGAAUUUUUCAUUGGUUUUGGACAAUCAUCAUCAACUUCACAUUCAAUAUAUGCUGUGAUGAAAAAUAUAAGGCUAAAAUAUGGUUUUAGUUCCUGCAAAUAUGCCUCGUUUUGGUUUUAGUUCCUGGUAAAAAAAUAAUUGUUUUUGGUCCCUGCUUCAGGGACUAUUUUCAAAAACAAAAAAUUUUGCAAGGACCUUUUUUAAAAACAAAAUAUUUUGCAGGGACCAAAAACUACAAAAUUGGUUCAGUUAUAAUGUGUCACGUAUGCAAAUCAUCACAAAAGUGGGGUCAGGGACUAUUUUCAAAAACAAAAAAUUUUACAGGAACCAAAAACAAAUUUUUUUUUUACCAGGGACUAAAAUCAAAACGAGGCAUAUUUGCAGGGACUAAAAUCAUAUUUUAGCCAAAAUAUAAUAAAAUAAUGUUAGUAAAGAAUGAUAAAAGAUGUUGUACAAACUAUGAAGUAACUAAGGAAAUUAAAAAAGGAUAAAAAAAAAUGUCUUACCACCACCAACUUCCGUUGCAACAAGAAACAAUGAGAGAAGUAGAAUUAUAGCAAAGAAAAACUUGAGCAUUUUAGCCAUACUUUUUUU